rnacentral:rRNA from 1 species
AGGGUUCGAUUAUGGCUCAGAUUGAACGCUGGCGGCAGGCCUAAUACAUGCAAGUCGAACGGUAACUGGAGAGAAGCUUGCUUCUUUUGCAGACGAGUGGCGGACGGGUGAGUAAGAUCUGGGAAACUGCCUGACAGAGGGGGACAACAACUGGAAACGGUUGCUAAUACCGCAUAUACCCUGAGGGGGAAAGUCGCAAGACGCUGUCAGAUGUGCCCAGAGGGGAUUAGCUAGUUGGUGAGGUAAAGGCUCACCAAGGCGACGAUCUCUAGCUGGUCUGAGAGGAUGAUCAGCCACAUUGGGACUGAGACACGGCCCAG